rnacentral:rRNA from 1 species
CGUACAGAACCUUCCUUUGAGUGGGGGAUAGCCCGGAGAAAUCCGGAUUAAUAUCCCAUAGUAUUAUUGUGUGGCAUCACAUAAUGAUUAAAGAUUUAUUGCUCAGAGAUGGCUGUGCGGCUGAUUAGGUAGUUGGCGGGGUAAAGGCCCACCAAGCCUGCGAUCAGUAACUGGUGUGAGAGCACGACCAGUCACACGGGCACUGAGACACGGGCCCG